rfam:Bombyx mori DNA, contig: Bm_scaf13_contig10178, strain: p50T/Dazao, build 2, whole genome shotgun sequence.
UUAACACAAAUUUAUAUGGAUUUGAAACGUUUGCCUGCGUUUGGUGCUAAGGGCGCUGUUCCAACUGCAUAAAAAUUUGAGCUA